UGAGAUUUGUAAACACGCCUGUGAUUAUCGAGAGAUUUGCUACUCUGGAGAAAGAAAUUGAGCAUUCUAUUCAAGCUAAUGAAAUCGCCAAUGCUGCUGCUGAUGCUGAGCAAUUACAAACACAAAUGGUGAUGCUAAUUCUGGAGUAAGUAGUAAUCUAAGGAAGUUGAAAGAGUCAUUCAAGAGAAAGUCAUGCAGUAGAUACAGAGUCACUAUGUGUUCUAGCCCGAAAGCUGGUCUGGUCUGUUUGCAUUGAUCUUCACAUUUUGGACUAUGGAGGGUAGCUUUACUUGGCUGCAUUUCUUCUUCAUGUAGCCCAAGUUGUUGUAAAGGAGAUUGAAAAGUUAUUUUUUUCAGAAAACCACAUGUUAGAAUAUUUCAUUACAUUUAUAUGACACCUCUUGUCUUCUAACUCUCUGAAUCUUUGACGAAUUAGAGAUAUGGUGCAAGGCAGUGCAAGUGUGGAUCGGAGGACCUUGCUCUGUCCAUGACAGCAACUCUUGCUCACUCUCGGAACAACCUGUAAGUGGUAACAUUUUUUUCCUUCUUCUUUUUAUCUGAGUCAUUGCUUGACCUACUUAGUAGGAGUUGCUCAUGCUUCAUUUGAGAUUGCUAAGCAAUGGUGCGGUUAACUUUGUUCUGUUGACAAGCCAACUAUCUUGGAGGUAAAUAAACCCUAGAUAAUUG